rnacentral:rRNA from 1 species
AGCAGCCGCGGUAAUUCCAGCUCCAAUAGCGUAUAUUAAAGUUGUUGCAGUUAAAAAGCUCGUAGUUGAAUUUCGGGAUCAGUUGGUCGGUCGUGCCUCGGUACGUACUGGUCAAAUUGAUUCCUACCUUCUGACGAACCACGAUGUCAUUAAUUUGGUGUCGCGGGAAAUCAGGACUGUUACUUUGAAAAAUUAGAGUGUUUAAAGCAGGCUCGCGCUUGAAUACAUUAGCAUGGAAUAAUGAAAUAGGACGUUUGAUUCUAUUUUGUUGGUUUCUAGGAUCGACGUAAUGAUUAAUAGGGAUAGUUGGGGGCAUUAGUAUUCAAUUGUCAGAGGUGAAAUUCUUGGAUUUAUUGAAGACUAACUACUGCGAAAGCAUUUGCCAAGGAUGUUUUCAUUAAUCAAGAACGAAAGUUAGGGGAUCGAAGACGAUCAGAUACCGUCGUAGUCUUAACCAUAAACUAAUGCCGACUAGGGAU